rnacentral:rRNA from 1 species
AGCGAACGCUGGCGGCAGGCUUAACACAUGCAAGUCGAGCGGGCGUAGCAAUACGUCAGCGGCAGACGGGUGAGUAACGCGUGGGAACAUACCUUUUGGUUCGGAACAACACAGGGAAACUUGUGCUAAUACCGGAUAAGCCCUUACGGGGAAAGGAUUAUCGCCGAAAGAUUGGCCCGCGUCUGAUUAGCUAGUUGGUGAGGUAAUGGCUCACCAAGGCGACGAUCAGUAGCNGGUCUGAGAGGAUGAUCAGCCACAUUGGGACUGAGACACGGCCCAAACUCCUACGGGAGGCAGCAGUGGGGAAUAUUGGACAAUGGGCGCAAGCCUGAUCCAGCCAUGCCGCGUGAGUGA